UAGUUAAUGAACUUGUAAAAGUAUAUGUUUUGAAAACAUAAAAAAGAGAUAAAGCUCUCUAUUAACU
rnacentral:tRNA from 1 species